UACGGGGGGAGCAAGCGUUGUUCGGAUUUACUGGGCGUAAAGGGCGCGUAGGCGGCGCAACAAGUCACUUGUGAAAUCUCCGGGCUUAACCCGGAGCGGCCAAGUGAUACUGUCGUGCUAGAGUGCGGAAGGGGCUACUGGAAUUCUCGGUGUAGCGGUGAAAUGCGUAGAUAUCGAGAGGAACACCUGCGGCGAAGGCGGGUAGCUGGGCAGACACUGACGCUGAUGCGCGAAAGCCAGGGGAGCGAACAGG
rnacentral:rRNA from 1 species